rnacentral:lncRNA from 1 species
GCAUGACACGCAUGUAGCGCAUGCGUUGUGUGAACUGGAAGGACCAGGCACCCAAGCCCAAUGCUGCAUUUAAUGUGGGUUUAAAAUUAUCUCUAGUUUGGUGGGUUGAUUGAUUGGCUAAUGGAAUUUGGGGUUGGAUUGUUACUACCGUUUUUGCUUCACAUCUUCAGACCACCAACAAGUUGUCCUAAUCUCAACUAUCAAGAUUCAUGGCUUUAAACUAGUAGUAGCACUUUCCUGUUCAAGCCAACAAACAGUACUAAGGUUUUUGUUUUUUUGCAAUCUUGAAAUUAUACUAUGUUGAAGAAGAGAUCUGAUUCUGGUUCUCUCUUUGGUAAUGGGCAGUCUCAAAUGCUCAGUUUCUCUUCCCCCAACUCUCACCCUCUAGGGAUGCAUCAUCAAGUUGCAACUCCUCACUCUUACACUACAGGUCUCUCUCACUCUCU